rnacentral:ncRNA from 1 species
GAGAGCGCAGUACAACGGAGAGUUGUAUGCUGCGUUCCGGAAGGAUGAAUCGCUCCGGAAAAGGAAUCUAUUGAUUCUCUCCCAAUAGAUUGGACCGUAGGUGCGAUGAUUUACUUCAC